CAGCCGCCGCGGGAAUACAGAGGGUGCGAGCGUUAAUCGGAUUUACUGGGCGUAAAGCGUGCGUAGGAGGCUUCUUAAGUCGGAUGUGAAAUCCCUGAGCUUAACUUAGGAAUUGCAUUCGAUACUGGGAAGCUAGAGUAUGGGAGAGGAUGGUAGAAUUCCAGGUGUAGCGGUGAAAUGCGUAGAGAUCUGGAGGAAUACCGAUGGCGAAGGCAGCCAUCUGGCCUAAUACUGACGCUGAGGUACGAAAGCAUGGGGAGCAAACAGGAUUAGAUACCCCUGUAGUCCCUGUCUCUUAUAC
rnacentral:rRNA from 1 species